rnacentral:tRNA from 1 species
GGUUUCGUAGCCCAGCUAGUAGGGCGCUUGCCACGUUGAGGCAUGCAGUUUCUGUGGUUGGUUCGAAUCCAAACGAAGCCC